rnacentral:RNase_P_RNA from 1 species
UAUGCAAGUUGCCUUACCGCCUCAAUUUGUUGGGGAGGAAAGUCCGGGCAACAUAGAGCACCGUACUUCCUAACGGGAAGGUCCCGAUACAUCGGGAACAGAUAGUGCCACAGAAAAUAUACCGCCCUGACGUGUCGGGGUAAGGGUGAAAAGGUGAGGUAAGAGCUCACCGGAUGAAUGGUGACAUUGAUCGCAUGGUAAACCUUACGGGUUGAAAGAUCAAAUAAGCUAAUGUAUGAGGAUUGCUCGUCCGAUGUUAGCGGGUAGAUCGAUAGAUCCCGAUAGUGAUAUCGGGACCAGAUAAAUGGUAAGGAUCUCAGUACCUGGGAUACAGAACCCGGCUUAUAGACUUGCAUUUUUU